GGUAGCUCAAUUGGUAGAGCAAGGCAUUAACACUGCCAGGGUUAAGGGUUUAAUUCCCACCUGGAAAUCA